rnacentral:rRNA from 2 species
AAAAGAGGGUUAAACAGUACGUGAAAUUGUUGAAAGGGAAGCGCUUGUGACCAGACUUGGGCGCGGCGGAUCAUCCGGGGUUCUCUCCGGUGCACUUCGCCGCGUUCAGGCCAGCAUCAGUUCGUCGCGGGGGAAAAAGGCUUCGGGAACGUGGCUCCUCCGGGAGUGUUAUAGCCCGUUGCAUAAUACCCUGCGGUGGACUGAGGACCGCGCAUCUG